rnacentral:rRNA from 1 species
UCAGGACGAACGCUGGCGGCGUGCCUAAUACAUGCAAGUCGAACGCUUCUUUUUCCACCGGAGCUUGCUCCACCGGAAAAAGAGGAGUGGCGAACGGGUGAGUAACACGUGGGUAACCUGCCCAUCAGAAGGGGAUAACACUUGGAAACAGGUGCUAAUACCGUAUAACAAUCGAAACCGCAUGGUUUUGAUUUGAAAGGCGCUUUCGGGUGUCGCUGAUGGAUGGACCCGCGGUGCAUUAGCUAGUUGGUGAGGUAACGGCUCACCAAGGCCACGAUGCAUAGCCGACCUGAGAGGGUGAUCGGCCACAUUGGGACUGAGACACGGCCCAAACUCCUACGGGAGGCAGCAGUAGGGAAUCUUCGGCAAUGGACGAAAGUCUGACCGAGCAACGCCGCGUGAGUGAAGAAGGUUUUCGGAUCGUAAAACUCUGUUGUUAGAGAAGAACAAGGAUGAGAGUAACUGUUCAUCCCUUGACGGUAUCUAACCAGAAAGCCACGGCUAACUACGUGCCAGCAGCCGCGGUAAUACGUAGGUGGCAAGCGUUGUCCGGAUUUAUUGGGCGUAAAGCGAGCGCAGGCGGUUUCUUAAGUCUGAUGUGAAAGCCCCCGGCUCAACCGGGGAGGGUCAUUGGAAACUGGGAGACUUGAGUGCAGAAGAGGAGAGUGGAAUUCCAUGUGUAGCGGUGAAAUGCGUAGAUAUAUGGAGGAACACCAGUGGCGAAGGCGGCUCUCUGGUCUGUAACUGACGCUGAGGCUCGAAAGCGUGGGGAGCAAACAGGAUUAGAUACCCUGGUAGUCCACGCCGUAAACGAUGAGUGCUAAGUGUUGGAGGGUUUCCGCCCUUCAGUGCUGCAGCUAACGCAUUAAGCACUCCGCCUGGGGAGUACGACCGCAAGGUUGAAACUCAAAGGAAUUGACGGGGGCCCGCACAAGCGGUGGAGCAUGUGGUUUAAUUCGAAGCAACGCGAAGAACCUUACCAGGUCUUGACAUCCUUUGACCACUCUAGAGAUAGAGCUUCCCCUUCGGGGGCAAAGUGACAGGUGGUGCAUGGUUGUCGUCAGCUCGUGUCGUGAGAUGUUGGGUUAAGUCCCGCAACGAGCGCAACCCUUAUUGUUAGUUGCCAUCAUUCAGUUGGGCACUCUAGCAAGACUGCCGGUGACAAACCGGAGGAAGGUGGGGAUGACGUCAAAUCAUCAUGCCCCUUAUGACCUGGGCUACACACGUGCU